UUAAGCGACUAAGCGUACACGGUGGAUGCCCUGGCAGUCAGAGGCGAUGAAGGACGUGCUAAUCUGCGAAAAGCGUCGGUAAGGUGAUAUGAACCGUUAUAACCGGCGAUGUCCGAAUGGGGAAACCCAGUGUGAUUCGUCACACUAUCGUUAACUGAAUACAUAGGUUAACGAGGCGAACCGGGGGAACUGAAACAUCUAAGUACCCCGAGGAAAAGAAAUCAACCGAGAUUCCCCCAGUAGCGGCGAGCGAACGGGGAGCAGCCCAGAGUCUGAAUCAGCUUGUGUGUUAGUGGAACGGUCUGGAAAGUCCGACGGUACAGGGUGAUAGUCCCGUACACCAAAAUGCACAGGCUGUGAACUCGAAGAGUAGGGCGGGACACGUGGUAUCCUGUCUGAAUAUGGGGGGACCAUCCUCCAAGGCUAAAUACUCCUGACUGACCGAUAGUGAACCAGUACCGUGAGGGAAAGGCGAAAAGAACCCCGGCGAGGGGAGUGAAAAAGAACCUGAAACCGUGUACGUACAAGCAGUGGGAGCACCUUCGGGUGUGACUGCGUACCUUUUGUAUAAUGGGUCAGCGACUUAUAUUCUGUAGCAAGGUUAACCGUAUAGGGGAGCCGCAGGGAAACCGAGUCUUAACUGGGCGUUAAGUUGCAGGGUAUAGACCCGAAACCCGGUGAUCUAGCCAUGGGCAGGUUGAAGGUUGGGUAACACUAACUGGAGGACCGAACCGACUAAUGUUGAAAAAUUAGCGGAUGACUUGUGGCUGGGGGUGAAAGGCCAAUCAAACCGGGAGAUAGCUGGUUCUCCCCGAAAGCUAUUUAGGUAGCGCCUCGUGAAUUCAUCUUCGGGGGUAGAGCACUGUUUCGGCUAGGGGGUCAUCCCGACUUACCAACCCGAUGCAAACUACGAAUACCGAAGAAUGUUAUCACGGGAGACACACGGCGGGUGCUAACGUCCGUCGUGAAGAGGGAAACAACCCAGACCGCCAGCUAAGGUCCCAAAGUCAUGGUUAAGUGGGAAACGAUGUGGGAAGGCACAGACAGCCAGGAUGUUGGCUUAGAAGCAGCCAUCAUUUAAAGAAAGCGUAAUAGCUCACUGGUCGAGUCGGCCUGCGCGGAAGAUGUAACGGGGCUAAACCAUGCACCGAAGCUGCGGCAGCGACACUAUGUGUUGUUGGGUAGGGGAGCGUUCUGUAAGCCUGCGAAGGUGACCUGUGAGGGUUGCUGGAGGUAUCAGAAGUGCGAAUGCUGACAUAAGUAACGAUAAAGCGGGUGAAAAGCCCGCUCGCCGGAAGACCAAGGGUUCCUGUCCAACGUUAAUCGGGGCAGGGUGAGUCGACCCCUAAGGCGAGGCCGAAAGGCGUAGUCGAUGGGAAACAGGUUAAUAUUCCUGUACUUGGUGUUACUGCGAAGGGGGGACGGAGAAGGCUAUGUUAGCCGGGCGACGGUUGUCCCGGUUUAAGCAUGUAGGCUGGUUGUCCAGGCAAAUCCGGAUAAUCAAGGCUGAGGUGUGAUGACGAGGUACUACGGUGCUGAAGUAACAAAUGCCCUGCUUCCAGGAAAAGCCUCUAAGCAUCAGGUAACAUCAAAUCGUACCCCAAACCGACACAGGUGGUCAGGUAGAGAAUACCAAGGCGCUUGAGAGAACUCGGGUGAAGGAACUAGGCAAAAUGGUGCCGUAACUUCGGGAGAAGGCACGCUGGUGUGUAGGUGAAGCCCCUGCGGGUGGAGCUGAGACCAGUCGAAGAUACCAGCUGGCUGCAACUGUUUAUUAAAAACACAGCACUGUGCAAACACGAAAGUGGACGUAUACGGUGUGACGCCUGCCCGGUGCCGGAAGGUUAAUUGAUGGGGUUAUCCGUAAGGAGAAGCUCUUGAUCGAAGCCCCGGUAAACGGCGGCCGUAACUAUAACGGUCCUAAGGUAGCGAAAUUCCUUGUCGGGUAAGUUCCGACCUGCACGAAUGGCGUAAUGAUGGCCAGGCUGUCUCCACCCGAGACUCAGUGAAAUUGAACUCGCUGUGAAGAUGCAGUGUACCCGCGGCAAGACGGAAAGACCCCGUGAACCUUUACUAUAGCUUGACACUGAACAUUGAGCCUUGAUGUGUAGGAUAGGUGGGAGGCUUUGAAGCGUGGACGCCAGUCUGCGUGGAGCCAACCUUGAAAUACCACCCUUUAAUGUUUGAUGUUCUAACGUUGGCCCCUUAUCGGGGUUGCGGACAGUGUCUGGUGGGUAGUUUGACUGGGGCGGUCUCCUCCCAAAGCGUAACGGAGGAGCACGAAGGUUAGCUAAUCCUGGUCGGACAUCAGGAGGUUAGUGCAAUGGCAUAAGCUAGCUUGACUGCGAGCGUGACGGCGCGAGCAGGUGCGAAAGCAGGUCAUAGUGAUCCGGUGGUUCUGAAUGGAAGGGCCAUCGCUCAACGGAUAAAAGGUACUCCGGGGAUAACAGGCUGAUACCGCCCAAGAGUUCAUAUCGACGGCGGUGUUUGGCACCUCGAUGUCGGCUCAUCACAUCCUGGGGCUGAAGUAGGUCCCAAGGGUAUGGCUGUUCGCCAUUUAAAGUGGUACGCGAGCUGGGUUUAGAACGUCGUGAGACAGUUCGGUCCCUAUCUGCCGUGGGCGCUGGAGAAUUGAGGGGGGCUGCUCCUAGUACGAGAGGACCGGAGUGGACGCAUCACUGGUGUUCGGGUUGUCAUGCCAAUGGCACUGCCCGGUAGCUAAAUGCGGAAGAGAUAAGUGCUGAAAGCAUCUAAGCACGAAACUUGCCCCGAGAUGAGUUCUCCCUGAGACUUUAAGUCUCCUGAAGGAACGUUGAAGACGACGACGUUGAUAGGCCGGGUGUGUAAGCGCAGCGAUGCGUUGAGCUAACCGGUACUAAUGAACCGUGAGGCUUAACCUU
rnacentral:rRNA from 1 species